UUACGGCCACAUCACGUUGAAACACCUGUUCUCGUACGAUCACCGAAGUUAAACAACGUCGAACUGGGUCAGCACCUAGAUGGGCAACCACUUGGGAAUACUAGGUGCUGUAAG